CCCUCUCUCCCUCCUUGUCUCUCAUUUUGUAAACCCUGCAUUUCGCGAAACCCUAGAAAUCUCUCUCUCUCCGUCUGGCUCUCCCCUUCGCCAUUCUCGUAAUCUGCAAGUGUUCGCUUGCAGAAAGCUAAUUUCGAUUUCAAUUCAGUCAAAUUCCUGCAAUUGAUUCGUUGAUGAUGGCCCACGGAAAAGUCAGUCUCGCUCAAGAACUCCUCCCCUCGCCGAUCUUCUCCGCUACCAAAGACUCGGAGAUGGCACAGAGGGAAGAGUUCGAGAUGAGCGUCGCAGGAUCUGGAGAGGUGGAGCCUUCGAUCAGUCAGAUCCUUGGAAAGAUUGACAAGUUCACUGAGAUUGUGAGUGUUUUCGGUUCUUGUGGAUCCGCAGUUUUGAUUUGUUGAGUUCAUGUGAUGUUUGGAAGGCUGAAGAAUCAGGUUGGUAGCUCUCUUCCGCAAGAUCGUCCCUCCACUCACCAAGUACUCGCCGGAGACCAUUAUGCUGAUUGUGUUGAAUCUGGUACGAAUCUGGAGAUGGUGAGUUCGAAAUCGGCGACCACCGGAGAAAGUAUUCCUUGCGAUUUCUGUAAUGAGCAGGCUGUGAUGUUGUACUGUAAGGCCCACAAGCUUCGGAAGAUAUCUGAACUCUUCCUUUAUACUCAGCGAUCUUCGUUGAUCUGAUCUGUAAUGCUUUUAAAGCUCUUCCUUUGUCAGAUGCGAUGUGUGCCAAAAGGAUGUCCCAGUGGCGCUCAUAAGCUUUCAUAAUUGUAGCCUUGAUGCCAAAAUAAAGACCAACAUAGGGGACGAUUACAAGAUUAAAGUUUGGAACUACAAGAUGCAUAGAUGUCUUUUUACUCUUCUCGGGCAUCUAGAUUAUAUUCGUCCCGUGCAAUCUCACUUUUUUUAUGCUUGAAGCUUUGUUGAAAGAUUUGUACAAUGAUGUAAGUUUUAUAAUGGUCUAUGCUACAUGUGCUCUAUGCACUAUAGUCAUUCUCAUUAAGGUUUAUGAACCAUUCGUUUGAAGGCAAUGAUUUCUUAUUCUUGGUCCCCAUACAGAGGA